AUGUCAGACAUUCUUGCAGUAGCUCUAGGAGGAGCUGCAGGAGGUUUGGCAUUAGUUGGUGCCAUCACACUCAUUGUAGUGAUAUGCCUACCGCACCGCGGAAGGAAUUCAGAUUCUUCAGAGAGUAAUUCGUCCGGUCAAGCUCUUCCAGACAUGCAAGGAGCAACAUGUAUGACACUGGAGGAACUAAGGUCUGCUACAAAUAACUUCAGCAGCUCGAAUCUCGUCGGACAUGGAAUGUUCGGAGAGAUGAACCUAGGCCAGCAGCUCCUGUGCAGCGGCGAGUACUUCAGCGGCAGCAGCUCCUGUGUGUGGUGA
rnacentral:rRNA from 1 species